UACGUAGGGCGCAAGCGUUGUCCGGAAUUAUUGGGCGUAAAGAGCUCGUAGGCGGUUUGUCGCGUCUGUCGUGAAAGCUUGGGGCUUAACCCCAAGUCUGCGGUGGAUACGGGCAGACUAGAGGCAGGUAGGGGAGAACGGAAUUCCCGGUGUAGCGGUGAAAUGCGCAGAUAUCGGGAGGAACACCGGUGGCGAAGGCGGCAUCCUGGACCGACACUGACGCUGAGGAGCGAAAGCCAGGGGAGCAAACGGG
rnacentral:rRNA from 1 species